UACGGAGGGAUCUAGCGUUAUUCGGAAUUACUGGGCGUAAAGCGCACGUAGGCGGCUUUGUAAGUAAGAGGUGAAAGCCCAGAGCUCAACUCUGGAAUUGCCUUUUAGACUGCAUCGCUUGAAUCAUGGAGAGGUCAGUGGAAUUCCGAGUGUAGAGGUGAAAUUCGUAGAUAUUCGGAAGAACACCAGUGGCGAAGGCGGCUGACUGGACAUGUAUUGACGCUGAGGUGCGAAAGCGUGGGGAGCAAACAGG
rnacentral:rRNA from 1 species